rnacentral:rRNA from 1 species
GCACAAGCAGCGGAGCGUGUGGUUUAAUUCGAUGAUACGCGAAAACCUUACCUGGGUUUGACAUGCAAGUGGUAGGAAUCUGAAAGGGGACCGACCUUCGGGGAGCUUGCACAGGUGCUGCAUGGCUGUCGUCAGCUCGUGUCGUGAGAUGUUCGGUUAAGUCCGCUAACGAGCGCAACCCUCGUCGUGUGUUACAAGUGUCACGCGAGACCGCCGACGUCAAGUCGGAGGAAGGUGGGAUGAUGUCAAGUCAGCAUGGCCUUUAUAUCCAGGGCUACACACACGCUACAAUGGUCAACACAAUAGGUCGCGAAACCGCGAGGUGGAGCCAAUCCUCAAAGUUGGCCUCAGUUCAGAUUGUAGGCUGCAACUCGCCUGCAUGAAGAUGGAGUUGCUAGUAACCGCAGGUCAGCACUACUGCGGUGAAUACGUUCCCGGGGUUU